UGGAGGACCACAGUGCUGUUGGCCACUGCUCCCAUCUCCUCCAUGAACUCCUCCAGUGCUCCCGUGAUCACAGGAGGGACUGAGAGGAGAAUCUCCAGUUCAAAGUGCAUGUGGUCCUCUCCUGCCUCAUUCACAGCCUGACAAGUGUAUUUUCCAGCAUCUUCUGUCUGCACUCGCGGGAUUUGUAGCACCUGUCCACCUGACAGGACAAACCCAUACGUACAUCAGCAGAUUCAUCCGUGAAUAUGACUCCUCACUCAUACAUCACAACCACAGGCUUUAACACAGGAACGAGUUUCUACCUGGAAGUAGCACCACCCCAUCUGCAGAGGAGAGUUGGUGACCACACAGGUGUACUGGCCCUCAUGGGACAGCAGGGCGUUGUCUAUGUGGAGGAAAUGGCCGCUCUCCUGGAUGCCAG